rnacentral:rRNA from 1 species
AGUGGCGGACGGGUGAGGAAUACAUCGGAAUCUACCUUUUCGUGGGGGAUAACGUAGGGAAACUUACGCUAAUACCGCAUACGACCUUCGGGUGAAAGCAGGGGACCUUCGGGCCUUGCGCGGAUAGAUGAGCCGAUGUCGGAUUAGCUAGUUGGCGGGGUAAAGGCCCACCAAGGCGACGAUCCGUAGCUGGUCUGAGAGGAUGAUCAGCCACACUGGAACUGAGACACGGUCCAGACUCCUACGGGAGGCAGCAGUGGGGAAUAUUGGACAAUGGGCGCAAGCCUGAUCCAGCCAUACCGCGUGGGUGAAGAAGGCCUUCGGGUUGUAAAGCCCUUUUGUUGGGAAAGAAAAGCAGUCGAUUAAUACUCGGUUGUUCUGACGGUACCCAAAGAAUAAGCACCGGCUAACUUCGUGCCAGCAGCCGCGGUAAUACGAAGGGUGCAAGCGUUACUCGGAAUUACUGGGCGUAAAGCGUGCGUAGGUGGUUGUUUAAGUCUGUUGUGAAAGCCCUGGGCUCAACCUGGGAAUUGCAGUGGAUACUGGGCGACUAGAGUGUGGUAGAGGGUAGUGGAAUUCCCGGUGUAGCAGUGAAAUGCGUAGAGAUCGGGAGGAACAUCCAUGGCGAAGGCAGCUACCUGGACCAACACUGACACUGAGGCACGAAAGCGUGGGGAGCAAACAGGAUUAGAUACCCUGGUAGUCCACGCCCUAAACGAUGCGAACUGGAUGUUGGGUGCAAUUUGGCACGCAGUAUCGAAGCUAACGCGUUAAGUUCGCCGCCUGGGGAGUACGGUCGCAAGACUGAAACUCAAAGGAAUUGACGGGGGCCCGCACAAGCGGUGGAGUAUGUGGUUUAAUUCGAUGCAACGCGAAGAACCUUACCUGGUCUUGACAUGUCGAGAACUUUCCAGAGAUGGAUUGGUGCCUUCGGGAACUCGAACACAGGUGCUGCAUGGCUGUCGUCAGCUCGUGUCCUGGAAAUGUUGGGGUUAAGUCCCGCAACGAGCGCAACCCUUGUCCUUAGUUGCCAGCACGUAAUGGUGGGGAACUCUAAGGAAACCGCCGGUGACAAACCGGAGGAAAGGGGGGGGAUGAACUUCAAGUCAUCAUGGGCCUUUACGACCAGGGCUUACACCGUUCUUACAAGGGUGGGGGACAAAAGGGGUGCAAACCCCCCGAGGGGAGGCCAUUUCCCAAAACCCUUCUCUAUCCCGGGAUGGGAGU